AUACUGUAUAUAUAUAAGAUAUUUUACCUAUGCAGCUCAUUUGAAAAUUUAAUGUAAAGUUCUAUGUUGUGGGAUGUCUUUCUGUAUGCUGUGAAUAUGUGUUGCUCUGAUUGGUUGAUAAAUAAAGCUACAUUGGCCUAUGGCAAGGCAGCUUAGAGGCAGGUGGAAAUUCAAGCAGAUAGACAGGAAACAAAAAGAGAGGCGAAAAGAUGCCAGCCUGCCACCCAAGGAACAACAUGUCAGCAGACCAGUAAGCCAUGGAAUACAUGGCAAAACAUAGAUUAAUAGAAAUCGGUUAAUUUAAGUUAUAAGAGCUAGCUAGCAAGAAGUCUGACCCAUUAGGCCAUACAGUUUGUAAGUAAUAUAAACCUUUGUGUGUUUACUUGUCUGAGUGGCUGCUGGACAGGCAGGACACAGGAAAACUUCUGACUACAGUUCUAGUCCUUGAAAGCUACUUAGGAUAAUAAAGAAAUACAGUGAGACUCAUCUGCUCCUGGCAGCACCAAUUUACUUCAAAAGAGGAUGAUGGGCAUCAAAGAACCUUCAUAUGGAGUUUGCUUUCAAUGUGGCAAAGUUAGCCACUGGACAAGAAAUUGCCCUUGCCUUGACUGCUGACAGUAUGCUGUCCAAACUGGACAAGCAAGACAGAAAAGAAGGAGACUGCCAAACUUUGCCAAGAAAAGAGCAAGGGCACCAGACACCAAUGAAAAUGGAUGGUCCAAGUGAUCCAGCAUCCAAAACAACUUCAAGACUGCUGGCUGAGAUGGUCCACCUUCACAGAUGACUCUAGCUGGGACUUCAUUAUUAUCCCAAUUUUCUUAGGGUCCCCCAAAGAUUUCCAAUGCCCCCAAUCAACAGGAAGCAGUCUAGAGAACUAUGCCCACAUUCCAAAAAUAUUGGUUAUAGAUGUUUGUUAUCAUUUAAAGGGGUUGGUUACAAGAUGUUAUUGGUAAUGGUCAGAAAAAAAGCUGAACAAAGGAGAAUAGAUUCAAGAAUCUCUUUUUGAAAAGAAAAAGGGGUGAUAUAGAAAUGGUAGGAUAAAAGAGUAGAUUGAUUAUUGAAUAUACUUUUAAACCAAAAAACAACUAUUAAACUCAAAAUAUUUUA